ACAAAUUAGAGGUCGAAUAUAUGUUAUCUAUUUCUUUUUUUAUUGAAACAAUAUGUUAUCUAUUUCUAAUAAGCAAUUAAAUUUUCUAAAAGAUAUGUUUGCCUUUUAUUUUUUCUUUUCUUUUGUUUUUGCCAUAACAUCCAAUAAUUGUAUUCCAUCCAUACUAGUUUAUAGUUUCUGUUUGUGUUUUUUUACGGUAUUUAAGAGAUGAAAGGAGAAAAUGGAUGAAAUACUUUUAAAAAGUAUAAUUAUAUACAAAAGAUUGAGAUAGAAAGUGGAAAAAAAUACAAGGGUAAGUGAAAAAUUCAAGGGUAAUUUAAAAAGUAAAAUUAAUAAAGUUAAAAAAAAAAGAGUAUAAUGAUUUUUACGUACGACCCAAAAAUAGAAAUAAGAACUAUAUUUUAAAUCUCCAAAAUAGAAAAACAUGAAAUAUAACGUAGAACGGAAUGAGUAUAUUAGCCUUUUGUUUAGGCGUGUAUGUAGUAUGCUGGCGAUCCUUCCAAGCUCAGUAUGUUAGUACUUGUACAAAAAGUUUUAAAUGUACCAAUUUUUAUAAAACCACAAAAAAAACAAAAAAUAAAAAAAUCGCUGCCCUGUGCAAUUUCCGAGUCUUUUUCUGUUUCAGUUUUUUCACGUUUUUCCACCAAAAAAACCUUACCCAGUUCGCAUCGCUCUCCUCUCGUUACAAAAAUGAAGAUCGAUGGAGCAAAGAAGGAUGCACGGUUUGAAGCAUUAAUUUUCUUGAAUGGUCCCCAGCCAACGCUCGCUUAGGUAAGGGAGGGGCGUAGUGUUCCACAAAUUUUAUUGGAGCAGGGGGUUUCUCGAAUAAUAAUAAUUUUAGAUUUCAAGAAAAGAAGGUUCAUCAGGAUCAGUGGCGGACCCAAGAAUUUCCGACUGGCACAAAGGCAGGUCCGCCGCUGAUCAGGAUGAAGUAAGUAUAUUCAAGUCUUAUGUUUGCAAUUUAAUUCGCUUUUUAUAUUUUCUGUUUUUUUUUUUCUUCUUAAUAUCAUAGUGAUAAAACUAGAUAAUGAAGGGAGGAAUUGCAGUGUAGGGAGGGGGGCAGAUGUAGGGAGGCCAGGGGGUUAGGUGCAGGGGAAGGGGGCAAGGGCUCCUGCACUUGUGGUUAUGCUCCCAUUGUAAUUUUUUUUUCGUUAUUUUUUUUUAUUAAAGUGUAAAACAUUAUAGUAAUUUAUUAAUGAAAAUAUCUAAGUUUUUAUAUGUACAA